GCCCCCGUAGCUCAAAUGGAUAGAGCGUCCGCCUCCUAAGCGGAUGAUCCCGGUUCAAUUCCGGGCGGGAGCACCA
rnacentral:tRNA from 1 species